rnacentral:rRNA from 1 species
GACGAACGCUGGCGGCGUGCUUAACACAUGCAAGUCGAACGGAAAGGCCCUGCUUUUGUGGGGUGCUCGAGUGGCGAACGGGUGAGUAACACGUGAGUAACCUGCCCUUGACUUUGGGAUAACUUCAGGAAACUGGGGCUAAUACCGGAUAGGAGCUCCUGCUGCAUGGUGGGGGUUGGAAAGUUUCGGCGGUUGGGGAUGGACUCGCGGCUUAUCAGCUUGUUGGUGGGGUAGUGGCUUACCAAGGCUUUGACGGGUAGCCGGCCUGAGAGGGUGACCGGCCACAUUGGGACUGAGAUACGGCCCAGACUCCUACGGGAGGCAGCAGUGGGGAAUAUUGAACAAUGGGCGGAAGCCUGAUGCAGCAACGCCGCGUGCGGGAUGACGGCCUUCGGGUUGUAAACCGCUUUCGCCUGUGGCGAAGCGUGAGUGACGGUAAUGGGUAAAGAAGCACCGGCUAACUACGUG